CGCGGGUUCGAGACCCAGCCGCGGCAGACAACAUCUUCCUGCUUGCGCUGGGUAUGGAAAUUAUAUAAUACACACUCUAGAACAUUUUCAUCUUAACAUAUUACAGAGUGUACAAUUACACAACUAACAUAUAUAUAUAUGUAGAACUCACAAAAUUUUCGAGCUGUUUGACCUAAAAAUCACCGCCGAAUCCAAUUUACAAUUUACGCAUAGUAAUUUUUUUCGGAAUGAUGUAAUCUUCGAUCUUAACAAUGGAAAAUAUGCCCUAUAAGAAGCCCAAUGACGAUCCGCUAUACACAAAUAGGUACUCUAACCAUCCACUAGGCAUUAUAAGGCAGCUACCUACAUCAAAGCAUUGCACUGCUUUCAUCAGAUGAGCAAACAUUUAAGGAAUCUGCACCUGCAUACCAAAACGCACUUAUCUUCUCGCGGAAAUUUCCAAAUUUUUCUUACCACAUCGGAAAUUAUCGGGAAUUUCUCAACCCCCCUCGGCAAUUUUCUUGACCCCCUCAGAAAUUAUCGGCAAUUUUCUUGAACCCUCGGAAAUUUUCAGCGAUUUUUUUGACCCCUCGGAAAUUCUCGUCAACAGGUAGUAGCCCUUCAGAAAUUAUCGGGAAUUUCUCGACCCCCUCAGAAAUUAUCGGCAAUUUUCUUGACCCCCCCCUCGGAAAUUUUCAGCGAUUUUCUUGACCCCUCGGAAAUUCUCGUCAACAGGUAGUAGCCCUUCAGAAAUUAUCGGGAAUUUCUCGACCCCCUCAGAAAUUAUCGGCAAUUUUCUUGACCCCCUCGGAAAUUUUCAGCGAUUUUUUUGACCCCUCGGAAUUUCUCGUCAACAGGUAGUACUCCUUCAGAAAUUUCAGGUAUUACCCCUUUAAUUUAAAAAAAAAAUUUGACCCAUUCAGAAAUUUUCUUUUUCCAACACCCCUCGGAAAUUUCAACUUCAGACCCCCCUCAGAAAUUCAGAAAAUUUCAGACCCUUCGGAAAAUCUCGUC